GACCAUAUACACAAAAUGAUUAUAAUGCUAUACAUGCCAUACUCAAAAUAUACAAGCCAUUAUGCCAAGAUGGUAUACAGAUAGUGUGAGCGUGCCUCCGACCGUUUCCGAUUUCCGAGCUGGCUUGUCAACACUACAAGGAAUGAAAAGGAGGGAGUAAGCAUAAAUGCUUAGUAAGCUCACAUGCAAAUAGCAAGUAACAGAACUAUAUGCGCAAACAUAAAACAGCAUUUGCAUAAUCACCACCGAGACAUUCAUAUCACAUUUUCAUUUAUCAUCUUACCAUAUUGUUGUUAUAUCGAGUUUUCUACCCGAGGGUUAAGUACAUACCUGUUCAAAGUAUUCAUUUCACAACACUUACCAAUACAUCCCUUUCAUCUCGAGUAUUCCUCCAUUUGAGUAGAAUUUUACCCGUUGAACACAUCGGAAUAUAAUUCGGAUACAUGGAAAGUUUGCACAUAAGUGCCACAUAUGUAGCCAAGCUACCAUGUAACCCGCCCAUAAGUGAACUCAGACUCAACUCAAUGAGCUCGAGCGUUCGCAUCCAUAAGUGAACUCGGACUCAAAUCAACGAGCUCGGAUGCCUAGUUACAUCUCUCGAACUCAGACUCAACUCAAUGAGUUCGGACAUUUGCAUCCAUAACUGAACUCGGACUCAACUCAACGAGUUCGGAUGCCCAAACAUCCUAGUGACAUGUCACUUGUAUCCUAAUCUAUUCCUAAGGUUCAAAUGGGCAUUUUCCUAGAUCACACAUCUUUGCCAUCUUCCACGGAAUAUCGAAAUUGAUACUUCGGUGAUAGUUCAUACUCAUCAAGUAAUUCACAUAAUUACAUAUUAUUCAACAAUAACCACAAAGCAUAAUAUUUCAUGAUAAUAAUCAGCAUCAUAUCAUAUAAACAACAUUAAAUUGCUUAAAAUGAUAAUUAUGUUACUACAUUUACACAUGAACUUACCUCGUAUGCGAAAAUGGCUACUUUUACCAUUUCGUCCACAACUUGGUAUUUUCCCCAUUUUAGCCCGAAUUUUAGUUUUCCUCGAUCUAUCAUUUAAAAUAUAGUCUAAUUAGGACUCACAUUAUUCAAAUUGACCCAAAAUCAUAUUUUGGAAAAAUUACAAUUUUGCCCCUAAACUUUUGCAUAUUUACACUUUUGCCCCAAAGCUCGUAAAUUAAAAUUCAGCCUAUUUUCUUAUGUUUUAUGACAUGCUGAUCAUUUUUCCCUUCUAUGGCAACAUCAAAUUCUCACUCUAACAUGUACUUAUGACUAUUAGGUAUUUUUACCGAUUAAGCCCUUUUGCUCGUUUUCACUUAAAACCGAGUAGCACAAGUUGUCUAACAUAAUUUAAAACCUCAUAUUCUAUCAUAAAACACCAAAAUACACAAAUUUCACCUAUGGGUAUUUUUCCAAAUAUAAACCCUAGGUUAAAUUAUUGCUAGCAUAAGCUAAAUCGAGCUACCGGGACUCCAAAAACGUAAAAAUCAUUAAAAACGAGGCUAGAACGGACUUACAAUCGAGCUUGGAAGCUUGAAAAACCCUAGCCAUGGUUUCUCCUUGCUAUAUUCGGCCAUGGGGUUGAAGAUGCGCAAAAUUGGCUUUUAAUUUUGUAUUUUAAUUCAUUUUACCCCUAAAUGACCAAAAUGCCCUUACUACUAAACUUUCCAAAAAUUCCAUCCAUGUCCAAUUUUUUUCCAUAGACUUAGAAAUUGGUAAAAUUGCUAUUUAAGACCUCCUAAUUAAUAUUUCAAAACAAUUUAAUACUAGAACCUUCUAGAAUGCAAGUUUUACAAAUUAUUCGAUUUAGUCCCUAAUUUCAAUUUAAGCACUUUAUGCAUAAAAUUUCUUCACGAAAUUUUCACACAAUCAUGUAAUCAUAUCAUAGACCUCAAAAUAAUCAUAAAAUAAUUAUUUCUAUCUCGGAUUUUGUGGUCACGAAACCACUAGUCCGACUAGGCCCAAAAUCAGGAUAUUACAACGGCAGCCGUAACUAUAACAAUACUAAGGUAGCAAAAUUCCUUGUUGGGUAAUUUUUGACCUGCAUGAAAGACAUAACGAUCUGGGUACUGUCUAGGAGAGAGGCUUGGUGAGAUAGACAUGUCUAUGAAGAUGAAGACUACUCGUAUCUAAAUAAAAAACCCUAUGAAACUUCACUGUUCCCUAGGAUUGGUUUUGGGCUUUUCCUGCGUAGUUUAGGUGGAAGGCGAAGAAGGCCUCCUUCCGGGGGGGCCGAGCCAUCAGUGAGAUACUACUCUGGAAGAGCUAGAAUUCUAACCUUGUAUCAGGACCUACGGGCCAAAUGACAAUCUCAGGUAGAUAGUUUCUAUGGGGCGUAGGACUUCCAAAAGGUAACAGAGGCAUGCAAAGGUUUCCUUGGGCCGGACGAAGAUUGGUCCUUAAGUGCAAAGGCAGAAGAAAGCUUGACUGCAAGACCCACCUAUUGAACAGGGAUGAAAGUCAGCCUUAGUGAUCUGAUGGUGCUGAGUGGAAGGGCCAUCGCUCAAUAGAUAAAACUUACUCUAGGGAUAACAGCUUGAUCUUCCCCAAGAGCUUACAUCGAUGGGAAGGUUUGGCACCUUCAUGUCGACUCUUUGCCACUUAGGGCUGUAGUAUGUUCCAAAAGUUAGGUUGUUCACCCAUUAAAGUGGUACAUGAGCUGGGUUCACAACGUCGUGAGAUGGGUCGGUCCAUAUCCAGUUUGGGUAUUAGAGCGUUGAGAGGACUUUCCUUAAUACGAGAGGACCGGGAAGGACUGGGGUACUAGUUAUCGUGCCUACGGUAAACGCUGGGUAGCCAAGUGUAGAGCGGAUAACUGCUGAAAGCAUCUAAGUUGUAAGCCCACCCCAAUAUGAGUGCUCUUGUAUUCCGACUUCCCUAGAGCAUCCAGUUACACAGCCGAGACGGUAAGGGGUUCUUUAUCCCUACAGGGAUCGAGUGACAGAAGUUUUGAGAAUUUAAAAGAAGGUCACUAUGAGACGAGCCAUUUAUCAUUACGAUAGGUGUCAAGUAGAAGUGCAGUGAUGUAUGCAGCUGAGGCAUCCUAACAGACAGAUAGACUUGAAC
rnacentral:rRNA from 1 species